rnacentral:lncRNA from 1 species
CACCAGCCCCCCUGCUGCCCCAGGCCUGGUGGGGGAUGGGGGCUUACUUCUGUCCUGCCUUCCUGCUCCCCGGUCUGCACACUGGGUUCAGCACUGAGCCAGCGUCUCUCUCCAGGCCCCAGCUCUUGGGCUCAGGCCCCAGGUGGGGCUGCCAGAGCUGAGAGGCACCCUGUCUCAGAGUCCAGAGCUGGGGCCGCUGGACAGUCGUGGGACUGAAACUUUUUUUGUUUUGUUUUGGAGACAGUCUUGCUCUGUCCCCCAGGCUGGAGUGCAGGGGCACCAUCUGUAGCGCUUGAAAAAGCCUCUGAGGCCCCCUGGAUCGCCUGGUCCGAGGCCUGGGUUGUGUUUGCAGAGCCUGGCGAUCCUGCAUCCUGUGGUCAAGCUUUAUCGAGGCAUCAUACGGGGUUUCACCAUGUUAGCCAGGAUAGUGCUCCUGACCUCAGGUGAUCCACCUGCCUCAGCUUCCCAAAGUGUUGGGAUUACAGGCGCAAGCCACUGUGCUGCAAACUAUGCACUGAUCCUCUAGUUUCCAUGGUGGGGCGGCCAGGCCAGCAGGGGUUUCCAGACAGUCUGGGUCCUGGGGUCCCUGGGGC